CACGUGAGCAACCUGCCCUGGACUCUGGGAUAAGCGCUGGAAACGGCGUCUAAUACUGGAUAUGAGACGUGAUCGCAUGGUCGUGUUUGGAAAGAUUUUUCGGUCUGGGAUGGGCUCGCGGCCUAUCAGCUUGUUGGUGAGGUAAUGGCUCACCAAGGCGUCGACGGGUAGCCGGCCUGAGAGGGUGACCGGCCACACUGGGACUGAGACACGGCCCAGACUCCUACGGGAGGCAGCAGUGGGGAAUAUUGCACAAUGGGCGGAAGCCUGAUGCAGCAACGCCGCGUGAGGGAUGACGGCCUUCGGGUUGUAAACCUCUUUUAGCAGGGAAGAAGCGAAAGUGACGGUACCUGCAGAAAAAGCGCCGGCUAACUACGUGCCAGCAGCCGCGGUAAUACGUAGGGCGCAAGCGUUAUCCGGAAUUAUUGGGCGUAAAGAGCUCGUAGGCGGUUUGUCGCGUCUGCUGUGAAAUCCCGAGGCUCAACCUCGGGCCUGCAGUGGGUACGGGCAGACUAGAGUGCGGUAGGGGAGAUUGGAAUUCCUGGUGUAGCGGUGGAAUGCGCAGAUAUCAGGAGGAACACCGAUGGCGAAGGCAGAUCUCUGGGCCGUAACUGACGCUGAGGAGCGAAAGGGUGGGGAGCAAACAGGCUUAGAUACCCUGGUAGUCCACCCCGUAAACGUUGGGAACUAGUUGUGGGGACCAUUCCACGGUUUCCGUGACGCAGCUAACGCAUUAAGUUCCCCGCCUGGGGAGUACGGCCGCAAGGCUAAAACUCAAAGGAAUUGACGGGGACCCGCACAAGCGGCGGAGCAUGCGGAUUAAUUCGAUGCAACGCGAAGAACCUUACCAAGGCUUGACAUAUACGAGAACGGGCCAGAAAUGGUCAACUCUUUGGACACUCGUAAACAGGUGGUGCAUGGUUGUCGUCAGCUCGUGUCGUGAGAUGUUGGGUUAAGUCCCGCAACGAGCGCAACCCUCGUUCUAUGUUGCCAGCACGUAAUGGUGGGAACUCAUGGGAUACUGCCGGGGUCAACUCGGAGGAAGGUGGGGAUGACGUCAAAUCAUCAUGCCCCUUAUGUCUUGGGCUUCACGCAUGCUACAAUGGCCGGUACAAAGGGCUGCAAUACCGUAAGGUGGAGCGAAUCCCAAAAAGCCGGUCCCAGUUCGGAUUGAGGUCUGCAACUCGACCUCAUGAAGUCGGAGUCGCUAGUAAUCGCAGAUCAGCAACGCUGCGGUGAAUACGUUCCCGGGUCUUGUACA
rnacentral:rRNA from 1 species